UUGAAGAUGCAUACUUGAAGAUUUCAACUUGCAGACUUGAAGAAUUUGAAGACUUCAACUUGCAGACUUGAAGAAUUUGAAGACUUCAACU
rnacentral:pre_miRNA from 1 species